rnacentral:tmRNA from 1 species
GGGGCUGAUUCUGGAUUCGACGGGAUUUGCGAAACCCAAGGUGCAUGCCGAGGGGCGGUUGGCCUCGUAAAAAGCCGCAAAAAAAUAGUCGCAAACGACGAAACCUACGCUUUAGCAGCUUAAUAACCUGCUUAGAGCCCUCUCUCCCUAGCCUCCGCUCUUAGGACGGGGAUCAAGAGAGGUCAAACCCAAAAGAGAUCGCGCGAAUGCCCUGCCUGGGGUUGAAGCGUUAAAACGAAUCAGGCUAGUCUGGUAGUGGCGUGUCCGUCCGCAGGUGCCAGGCGAAUGUAAAGACUGACUAAGCAUGUAGUACCGAGGAUGUAGGAAUUUCGGACGCGGGUUCAACUCCCGCCAGCUCCACCA